rnacentral:lncRNA from 1 species
GGGCACCAGCUUGUCACCAACGUCGAGGUGGUGAUGAUUGCCAAGAGGGAGGCAGCUCGUGCAAAGGAAGGUCGCCUGAUCGGGGUCGCCCACCUCAAGGAGAAGAUCGCCAAGGUCCUAAGUCUCUGUGAGGCACUGGAAGAGGAGGGACAAACCUCGUCCGAUCUGAGGACCAUCUUGGACGAGGAGAGAGGAAAGGCUGAGGUCGAGGUCUCCACAUUGAAGGCACAGGUUUUCAAGUUGAAGGCACAGAUUUUUGAGCUGAAAGCACGGAUCCCAUCCCUGGUCUCAGA